AGCAUCUGAAAUGAAGUAGGACCACCCGCUGAACUUAAGAUUAACCAGUAAA
rnacentral:rRNA from 1 species